CUUGUGUUUGAAAGGCAAAGGGAAUUUUGCUUGGUUUCUGUAAUUCCUGGGGGUUCCUACGGGCUAUCCUGAUAAGCAGCCAGCUGAUUUAAGGAGUCCUAAUAGGCAUUUUCUUGAUUUUAUCCAACACCUCCGUACUGCCUCAACCACCCAGCCAAGCUCUCAUGUUGACUUUCAGCCAUUGUGACAAGGCACUGUCAAUCAUCAGGUCCCUUUACCAGGAGGGCCCAUGUCAUAAGCCACUAUAUAAAGGGAACGAUGGGUAGACGGCUUUGGACAAAUGGACUUGGGGUAGGAGAGAGGGCCAACAGUGGGGGCAAAAAGAUCUUUCUGUUUCACCCAAAACCUUGUGCUGACCAUAGCCAAGGAACGGAAGAAGAUGGUAAAAGCCUGCAGAUGUAGGUGUUCAGCAUGCCAUCUGAAAUAUUCCCCACAGAGGCAAAAAGCCAGGAAAUUAUUUCUGAAAAGGAAUGGGAAGACAAGUCAGCAGAAUAUGUCAAUGUUUUGGUUGAAGAAGCUGCUUGAAUUUGUGCUUUUCUGUAACAUGUGCUCUCCCACAGCCAGCACAGAGAAGGGCUUUUGGUGCAGGCCCAAGACCACCAUAAUCAUCAUUGAUUAUUCCUCUCCACCCCAGGGUCUCUAAAUAAAACGUCUCUUCUUUCUCUGA